CUGCAGCCCGAGUGGUGAUCGAUUUUAUUGGGCCUAAAGCGUCCGUAGCCGGUCUAGUAAAUCCUUGGAUAAAUCGUACAGCUUAACUGUACGGCUCCCGGGGAGACUGCUAGACUUGGGACUGGGAGAGGUCGGAGGUACUCCAGGGGUAGGGGUGAAAUCUUGUAAUCCUUGGGGGACCACCAGUGGCGAAGGCGUCUGACUAGAACGGAUCCGACGGUAAGGGACGAAACCCUGGGGCGCGAACCGGAUUAGAUACCCGAGUAGUCC
rnacentral:rRNA from 1 species